CUCCUACGGGAGGCAGCAGUGGGGAAUUUUGGACAAUGGGGGCAACCCUGAUCCAGCCAUGCCGCGUGCAGGAUGAAGGCCUUCGGGUUGUAAACUGCUUUUGUCAGGGACGAAAAGGACCGUGUUAAUACCAUGGUCUGCUGACGGUACCUGAAGAAUAAGCACCGGCUAACUACGUGCCAGCAGCCGCGGUAAUACGUAGGGUGCAAGCGUUAAUCGGAAUUACUGGGCGUAAAGCGUGCGCAGGCGGUUCUGUAAGACAGAUGUGACUCCCCGGGCUCAACCUGGGAAUUGCAUUUGUGACUGCAGGACUAGAGUUCAUCAGAGGGGGGUGGAAUUCCAAGUGUAGCAGUGAAAUGCGUAGAUAUUUGGAAGAA
rnacentral:rRNA from 1 species